GGGCCGAUGGUCUAGUGGUAUGAUUCUCGCUUAGGGUAACACCCUCUGCUAAGUUGCGAGAGGUCCCGGGUUCAAUCCCCGGUUGGCCCC
rnacentral:tRNA from 1 species